rnacentral:rRNA from 1 species
GAUGAACGCUGGCGGCGUGCCUAAUACAUGCCAGUCGAGCGAACGGACGAGAAGCUUGCUUCUCUGAUGUUAGCGGCGGACGGGUGAGUAACACGUGGAUAACCUACCUAUAAGACUGGGAUAACUUCGGGAAACCGGAGCUAAUACCGGAUAAUAUUUUGAGCCGCAUGGUUCAAAAGUGAAAGACGGUCUUGCUGUCACUUAUAGAUGGAUCCGCGCUGCAUUAGCUAGUUGGUAAGGUAACGGCUUACCAAGGCAACGAUGCAUAGCCGACCUGAGAGGGUGAUCGGCCACACUGGAACUGAGACACGGUCCAGACUCCUACGGGAGGCAGCAGUAGGGAAUCUUCCGCAAUGGGCGAAAGCCUGACGGAGCAACGCCGCGUGAGUGAUGAAGGUCUUCGGAUCGUAAAACUCUGUUAUUAGGGAAGAACAUAUGUGUAAGUAACUGUGCACAUCUUGACGGUACCUAAUCAGAAAGCCACGGCUAACUACGU